UUGCUAAAGCAUUACAGAUUACGCCAUGGUUAUGGUGGGGAAUGUCUCUCUUGUCUUCACUAAGAUUGUUUUUGUUCCCUUGGGGUAGCCUUAGAUCACAUCUAUCAUCUUUAACUAAUGUAUUAGAGCAUUAAUUAAUGCAAAAUAGCUAAUAGUCUGCAAGAUUUAAUUCUUCUGUUUGUGUGGUCUACAGAUAAAGGAGGAGUUCAAGAGUUCAACCACUGUAAGCCUUGAAUGGCUACACUUGACCCCAAAACUGAUGGACGUCAUUUUUUCAAGGGGAGGAGCUAAAGGAGUGAGAAUCGGGCAGAUCAAGGACAUGCUUCUUGAGCACAAUUCAACUGAAAUACACAGAGAAGUAGCCAUCUGCUGCCUUAUCACAUACCUUGGAGAGAAGGAGGAGGAGCUUUUCAUGGAGUUUGGUGACAAUUUAAGGCCAACCUUGAAAGGCAGGUGAUGAAAACUGCCAUCAUCGGUGACCGGUACACCCCUGGAUCUGACCAUAAGACUGCAACCAUUGUGGUGCGGGAACAAAAAUCCUGGAGGGCCAGAAUUUCCCAAGGUGCUGUGUGUUACUCAUGGGCAUAAUAUAUGCUCUCAAUCUGAGCUAAUGCAAGGAUCUGAAAUAUACUUUUGAAGUUUUUCAGAAGCUGUUCCUUGACCUUGAUGGAACCAGCAUUAUGUUAAAGAUGCUGACUCUGUUUCAAAAAUUGUUAACUGUUUUGAAUCCUGUAUGUGUAACAUUGAUCUUAAAGGUGUUUGCUGCAUUGUGUAAAAGAAAGAUGCAAGAUCUUGUAAAGUUUGGUUUUGCACUGAAAGUUGACAUUUAUUGAACACUUGCUUGGAAGUAGUACUGUAACAAAAUGUUUUCUAAGUGGAUUUUUUACCAAUUGAACACAUUUGUUUCUGUGGUCUUAAAUACAUAAAAGCAUAUUGUUUAACUUGGCUACGAUGGUACAAAUCUAAAUUUCUGGUUUAUUUUCACUUUUUAAAUAUGAAGUGUUGAAAGGCCUACAGUUAAAAAAAAAA